rnacentral:rRNA from 1 species
CCUACGGGGUGCAGCAGUGAGGAAUAUUGGUCAAUGGACGGAAGUCUGAACCAGCCAUGCCGCGUGCAGGAAGACGGCUCUAUGAGUUGUAAACUGCUUUUGUACAAGGGUAAACCUGAAUACGUGUAUUCAGCUGAAAGUACUGUACGAAUAAGGAUCGGCUAACUCCGUGCCAGCAGCCGCGGUAAUACGGAGGAUCCAAGCGUUAUCCGGAUUUAUUGGGUUUAAAGGGUGCGUAGGCGGAUUGAUAAGUUAGAGGUGAAAUGUCCGAGCUUAACUCGGGAACUGCCUCUAAUACUGUUGAUCUAGAGAGUAGAUGCGGUAGGCGGAAUGUAUGGUGUAGCGGUGAAAGGCUUAGAGAUCAUACAGAACACCGAUUGCGAAGGCAGCUUACCAAUCUAUAUCUGACGUUGAGGCACGAAAGCGUGGGGAGCAAACAGGAUUAGAUACCCUGGUAGUC